rnacentral:rRNA from 1 species
CACGGGGGGGGCAAGCGUUGUUCGGAAUUACUGGGCGUAAAGGGCUCGUAGGUGGCCAACUAAGUCAGACGUGAAAUCCCUCGGCUUAACCGGGGAACUGCGUCUGAUACUGGAUGGCUUGAGUUCGGGAGAGGGAUGCGGAAUUCCAGGUGUAGCGGUGAAAUGCGUAGAUAUCUGGAGGAACACCGGUGGCGAAGGCGGCAUCCUGGACCGACACUGACACUGAGGAGCGAAAGCCAAGGGAGCAAACGGG